AACGAACGCUGGCGGCAGGCUUAACACAUGCAAGUCGAGCGAGAUCUUCGGAUCUAGUGGCAGACGGGUGAGGAACACGUGGGAACAUCCCUUUCAGUUCGGAAUAACGUUGGGAAACUAACGCUAAUACCGGAUACGUCCUUCGGGAGAAAGAUUUAUCGCUGAAAGAUUGGCCCGCGUCUGAUUAGCUAGUUGGUGAGGUAACGGCUCACCAAGGCUACGAUCAGUAGCUGAUCUGAGAGGAUGAUCAGCCACAUUGGGACUGAGACACGGCUCAAACUCCUACGGGAGGCAGCAGUGGGGAAUAUUGGACAAUGGGCGCAAGCCUGAUCCAGCCAUGCCGCGUGAGUGAUGACGGCCUUCGGGUUGUAAAGCUCUUUUGUCCGGGAAGAUAAUGACUGUACCGGAAGAAUAAGCCCCGGCAAACUUCGUGCCAGCAGCCGCGGUAA
rnacentral:rRNA from 1 species